GAGCCCGCAUAAGCAGUGGAGUAUGUGGUUUAAUUCGACGCAACGCGAAGAACCUUACCGAAACUUGACAUCCCGAGGAGACCGAUGUAAUGUUGGUUGUGCCUUUCGGGGAACUCGGAGACAGGUGGUGCAUGGUUGUCGUCAGCUCGUGUCGUGAGAUGUUGGGUUAAGUCCCGCAACGAGCGCAACCCCUACGGUUAGUUGCUACGCAAGAGCACUCUAGCCGGACUGCCGUUGACAAAACGGAGGAAGGUGGGGAUGACGUCAAAUCAUCAUGCCCCUUACGUUUCGGGCUACACACGUACUACAAUGGCGCAAACAAAGGGAAGCAAUACCGCGAGGUGGAGCAAAACCCAAAAAAGGCGCCCCAGUUCGGACUGCAGGCUGCAACUCGCCUGCACGAAGUUGGAAUUGCUAGUAAUCGCGGAUCAGCAUGCCGCGGUGAAUACAUUCCCGGGCUUU
rnacentral:rRNA from 1 species